GUUCCUCAAUCAGUCAAUAAGUCAGUCGUUUUUUCCAUGGAGGCCUGCCAGAAAAAAGUUUUCUUCACAAAUUUAGUAACAUAACAUCAUUUACAAACAGUCAUUUUUGUAGUAAGUAUUUCUUUAUAUUUAAGUAAAAUUGUGACAUAUAUAACAACAAUGAACCUAACCAAUCAUAAAAUAAAUAUAUACACACAUACACAUACUGAAACCCAUUUAAUCCCAAAGGUCACAAUAGUGACCGCAAAAUAAAAAAAAACAUUAAAUAAAAAGUUUGUUAUAAGGCUCUACAAACGUUACCAAAUGAUGCAUCAAUGCAUUUCCAGCAGAUAUUGAAAACAUAAAUGGUCUAUGAAAUAUGUGCAGUGUCACAUGUUUAGUGUAAACUGUCACAUGACCAGAGCUGUUUACUUCCUGGUUGUACAAUGAGACCAGGAUGGCUGCAUCAAAGCUCCCAAACAAAAGAUGCCAUGGUAUUGGUCCUGGAACAUCAACAGCAGAGACAGAAGGAUACCUAGCAUGUCAUAUGUGAAUGUAAAAGGCCACUGACAGAGCAGCGAUAUAUGGGCAGCAGGCCAAGCAAAGCGCCCCAGUUGUCCCUCUCCCCAGCAACACCUUUCAGCUCCUCCUGGGGGACCCCAAGGUGUUAACAGGCCAGAUGAGAUAUGUAAUCCCUCCAGUGUGUUCUGGAUCUGCCCCGGUGCCUCUUACCAGUGGGACGUGCCAGAAACACCUCCAGCUGGAGGCGCCCAGGAGGAAGGCUUUUCAGAGAAUCGACACCUUAGCGUGGUGGAGGGGUUUGCGUAUCCCUGUGAACCUUGGAGAUGUGUUGUCCGGGACUAAUAGCCCUUGGUAGGGUCUCCCAAGGCAAAGUGGUUGCAGGGGAGGGGCCAGACUAACAGCGAUUCAAGAGGACCUUGAUGAAAAGGACAGUUUGGACUUUGAGCAUCUCGCUUGGUAUGGGGACACCGGGGGGGCCCCCCUGGAGCCAGAACUGGGGAGGGAGCUCGCCAGCGAGCGUCUGGUGGCCGGGCCUUGUGCCAUGGGGCCUGGUCGGUCUCAGCCCACCACCCACAG